AGGAUCAACGCUGGCGGCGUGCAUGAGACAUGCAAGUCGAACGGACGAUCAAAGCUUGCUUUGAUCGUUAGUGGCGGACGGCUGAGUAACGCGUGGGUGACCUGCCCCGAAGUGGGGAAUAACUGCCCGAAAGGGUGGCUAAUACCGCAUGUGGUGGUGCGUUCAAUCGCACCAGUAAAGCCGCAAGGCGCUUCGGGAGGGGCCUGCGUCCGAUUAGCUCGUUGGCGAGGUAACGGCUCACCAAGGCGACGAUCGGUAGGUGGUCUGAGAGGACGAUCACCCAGACUGGGACUGAGACACGGCCCAGACUCCUACGGGAGCAGCAGUCGGGAAUUUUGCGCAAUGGACGAAAGUCUGACGCAGCAACGCCGCGUGAGGGAUGAAGGCCUUCGGUGUAAACCUCUUUCUCAGGAAGAUAAUGACGUACCUGAGAAUAAGCCACGGCUAACUACGUGCCAGCAGCCGC
rnacentral:rRNA from 1 species